AAAUGUUAGUGUUAGAGUGUGCUGUAUCUGGACUUCAGAUUUUGUCUUGAAGCGUUAGACCAUCUGGGUACUUUUGGAAUACUUACAUUAACAUUCUACAGUUUGGGACACACUAAUUCUAAUUUUGAAUACUAUUUCAUGAUUCAGUUUGAUUAUCGUCAAGUCAACGAUUCGAUUCAGUUCAAUAUAAUAAUGCAUCACGAUUAUAUCACAUUUAUUUUGUGCAUUUUUAUUAAAUUAUAUAAGCAGGCUACUUUUUAAAAUUAAUUAAUUUAAAGUAAGGACCACAUCGUCACCUGCAUACAGGUCCCUCAGGGCCUCAUCCCUCCACAACGAUACCUCAAAAACUUUUUCUCCACACUUCAGGUGAAGAUCCAGGACGGGAACGUGAGUGCGUGUCAUCCUCACCCCACGCAGCUAGAAAAUUAAAAUUCAAGUAACUUGAAGCUGGAAAAGGAUGAUAGAGAGGUAACACUGUUAAACUGGUGGACACAGGGCCUCUUUUACAGCCUUCUGUGCCUCUUCGCUGAUGUCCUGCGCCACGGCCUUAAACUUCAUCAUUCCAGGAC